AGUGAACGCUGGCGGUAGGCCUAACACAUGCAAGUCGAACGGCAGCACAGUAAGAGCUUGCUCUUACGGGUGGCGAGUGGCGGACGGGUGAGGAAUACAUCGGAAUCUACUUUUUCGUGGGGGAUAACGUAGGGAAACUUACGCUAAUACCGCAUACGACCUACGGGUGAAAGCAGGGGAUCUUCGGACCUUGCGCGAUUGAAUGAGCCGAUGUCGGAUUAGCUAGUUGGCGGGGUAAAGGCCCACCAAGGCGACGAUGCGUAGCUGGUCUGAGAGGAUGAUCAGCGACACUGGAACUGAGACACGGUCCAGACUCCUACGGGAGGCAGCAGUGGGGAAUAUUGGACAAAGGGCGCAAGCCUGAUCCAGCCAUACCGCGUGGGUGAAGAAGGCCUUCGGGUUGUAAAGCCCUUUUGUUGGGAAAGAAAAGCAGCAGGUUAAUACCCCGCUGUUCUGACGGUACCCAAAGAAUAAGCACCGGCUAACUUCGUG
rnacentral:rRNA from 1 species